GAGGGAGGAUGCAAGCGUUAUCCGGAAUGAUUGGGCGUAAAGGGCGCGUAGGCGGUUGAAUAGGUCAGAUGUGAAAGCCCUUGGCUUAACCAAGGAAGUGCAUUUGAUACUAUUUGACUUGAGUAUGGGAGAGGGAAGUGGAAUUCCUGGUGUAGAGGUGAAAUUCGUAGAUAUCAGGAGGAACACCGGUGGCGAAAGCGACUUCCUGGACCAAUACUGACGCUGAGGCGCGAAGGCGUGGGGAGCAAACAGG
rnacentral:rRNA from 1 species